AAUAAUGUAAACCUAGUGUUAUCAGAGAAGCUUGCCAAGCGCCCAGGGUGGCUGGAGACCAGUCGUCUGCUGUUCGGGGCGGGCCAGGGGCGCGGUCCAGAAGGGCCCCCAGAGGAUGAUGCUGGCCGCACGGCGAGGCAGAGCAACCCUGGGAGGGGGCGUUUGGGUCCCGGAGAGCAGCCGGCAGUCCCGGCAGAGCCCACUGCGCAGGGGACAGAGCCCCCAGGUGCUCUGCGACUUUGUCGGGAGGGUGGAGGGGUACCGGGAAGUCUUUCUGACAGGAGAAGUGCACUCUGCCAUCAGCAGAAGAUUAGAUGGGAAGGGAGGCAAGGCGGGGAGGGUCAGCGUGGGCUGUAACAGUGGGCACGUAAGAGACUCUGGGGGCCUGAAGACGGAGGAGAUGGGGAUGUAGGAGGCGUCGCUGGUAGGACUCCAGAACCGACAGGAUCAGGGGUAAGGUAGGGGAGCAGGCCAAGAACGAGCGUGGAGUUUGGCCACCAAGGCCAGGGGCGGGGGUGUGGAGGCAGGGGAGCGCAGGGCUGUGUGGCACAGGGGCUUCCGUGCAGGGGUCUGUGGGCCGUCUGGGUGGGGGCGAUGGGGCCAUCAAAUCCUGGUGCAAAGCUGGGGGAGGGGCAAGGGUAUCUUGCAAGGAUCUCCAGCAAGACUCUUGGUUACCUGUUUGGGCUGAGGAGCCAUAUGGGAAACACUAUGUAGGUGACCAGAGUGGCCCCUUUCCUGCGGCAGACACAGCACUGAUGACAUUCUCACCCGCUGACCCUUGUGAUUUUUCGUGACCCUCGUCACUGACCCCCCAGGAGGGAGACGACAACACCAGAGAGGCGCAUGAGCGUGGUCAAAAGGCAAGAGAAAUAAAGUCCUAACGUUGAAGCCACCGUUACCAUCUUCCAUCAACUCUGUCAUUGAAUGGUCCUCCUGGCUGACUUUGAGAAGGACAAAUGGGCAGCUGCUGCCAGAAGCAGCUGAUGACCAAGACAAGCUUGCAACCAACAGGCUCGCCCUUAGCUGAGAUUCGCAUGGAGAUGCUCACGGCUCUUCCCGCACCAGCCCUGCUACUGCUUUCCAGUGUAAUUUGAGCCUUGAUCUGGUGCAAAGCUGAGCACUUUUGGUCCUCAGCACUAGAGCCCUGACCUUAAGCUAUGACAACCCAGUAUUAACGUACCUGAGUGAUUAAAACAUCAAAGGCCAAUAUGACACACGAAAGGGAAAGGGAAAGGGAAAGGGAAAUCUGGUUUAUUGAAAAGUGGUUAUAAGAUGGACUAUCCACUGUGUGUCAUUAAAGCAGGGGCACUUUCAUAAGAAAUGUCCACUUGAUUACUUUUAAAUUAUAACAGAAUAACUUAUUUUAAUUGAUCCUAUCUCCUGUGACUGCUUCUUGAAUCUACCGGGACACCAGGGGCCUUUAUAGAUUUUGCGGAUACUAUGCUCUGGCUAUCGUUUAUUGACGGUCUCCUCAUGUGAUAAAUGUUUUACAUCUAUUAUUUAACACAUCAACCCCACAGGUAGGUGGUAUCAUUCCUUUUUUUUUUUUUUUUUUUUUUUUUUUGCGGUACACGGACCUCUCACUGUUGUGGCCUCUCCCGUUGCGGAGCACAGGCUCCGGACGCGCAGGCUCAGUGGCCAUGGCUCACGGGCCCAGCCGCUCCGCGGCAUGUGGGAUCUUCCCGGACCGGGGCACAAACCCGUGUCCCCUGCAUCGGCAGGCGGACUCCCAACCACUGCGCCACCAGGGAAGCCCCUCAUUCCCAUUUUUAAAGAUAAUAUAACUGUGGCUCAGAGAAGGUUGAUUAACUUUCUCAUGGUAUCACACACAGCUAAUAAACGGGCUCUGAACCUAGGUGGAUGAAGGCUACCAUUAUCAUUUAGUUGUAAUGGA